UUGGGGUUGUAGGACACUCUAUACGGAGUUACAAAGGAAAUGAUUAGACGAAUGGUUUUGGAAAAGCCAACCAUAGAAGGUAAAGGUCCUGUAGUCGAAAGUCAUUUCUCUCCUGAGUGGAUCCUGAGUACGGCGGAACACGUGAAAUUCCGUCGGAAUCUGGGAGGACCAUCUCCCAAGGCUAAAUACUCUCUAGUGACCGAUAGUGAACCAGUACCGUGAGGGAAAGGUGAAAAGCACCCCGGAAGGGGAGUGAAAUAGAACCUGAAACCGUGUGCUUACAAAUAGUCAGAGCCCGUUAAUGGGUGAUGGCGUGCCUUUUGUAGAAUGAACCGGCGAGUUACGAUUUGAUGCAAGGUUAAGCAGUAAAUGUGGAGCCGUAGCGAAAGCGAGUCUGAAUAGGGCGAAUGAGUAUCUGGUCGUAGACCCGAAACCAAGUGAUCUACCCAUGUCCAGGUUGAAGUUCAGGUAACACUGAAUGGAGGACCGAACCGACUUACGUUGAAAAGUGAGCGGAUGAGGUGUGGGUAGCGGAGAAAUUCCAAUCGAACUUGGAGAUAGCUGGUUCUCUCCGAAAUAGCUUUAGGGCUAGCCUCAAGUGAUGAUUAUUGGAGGUAGAGCACUGUUUGGACGAGGGGCCCCUCUCGGGUUACCGAAUUCAGACAAACUCCGAAUGCCAAAUAAUUUAACUUGGGAGUCAGACUAUGGGUGAUAAGGUCCGUAGUCGAAAGGGAAACAGCCCAGACCACCAGCUAAGGUCCCAAAAUAUAUGUUAAGUGGAAAAGGAUGUGGCGUUGCCCAGACAACUAGGAUGUUGGCUUAGAAGCAGCCAUCAUUUAAAGAGUGCGUAAUAGCUCACUAGUCGAGUGACACUGCGCCGAAAAUGUACCGGGGCUAAACAUAUUACCGAAGCUGUGGAUUAUCCGUAAGGAUAAUGGUAGGAGAGCGUUCUAAACGUGUUGAAGCAUGAUCGUAAGGACAUGUGGAAUGUUUAGAAGUGAGAAUGCCGGUGUGAGUAGCGAAAGAUGGGUGAGAG
rnacentral:rRNA from 1 species